rnacentral:rRNA from 1 species
GUGAACCAUACCAAACUGUUGCCUCGGCGGGGUCACGCCCCGGGUGCGUCGCAGCCCCGGAACCAGGCGCCCGCCGGAGGGACCAACCAAACUCUUUCUGUAGUCCCCUCGCGGACGUUAUUUCUUACAGCUCUGAGCAAAAAUUCAAAAUGAAUCAAAACUUUCAACAACGGAUCUCUUGGUUCUGGCAUCGAUGAAGAACGCAGCGAAAUGCGAUAAGUAAUGUGAAUUGCAGAAUUCAGUGAAUCAUCGAAUCUUUGAACGCACAUUGCGCCCGCCAGUAUUCUGGCGGGCAUGCCUGUCCGAGCGUCAUUUCAACCCUCGAACCCCUCCGGGGGGUCGGCGUUGGGGAUCGGGAACCCCUAAGACGGGAUCCCGGCCCCGAAAUACAGUGGCGGUCUCGCCGCAGCCUCUCCUGCGCAGUAGUUUGCACAACUCGCACCGGGAGCGCGGCGCGUCCACGUCCGUAAAACACCCAACUUCUGAAAUGUUGACCUCGGAUCAGGUAGGAAUACCCGCUGAACUUAAGCAUAUCA